rnacentral:rRNA from 1 species
AUUGAACGCUGGCGGCAGGCCUAACACAUGCAAGUCGAGCGAGCGGCGGACGGGUGAUUAAUGUAUGGGGACUGCCCGAUAGAGGGGGAUAACUACUGGACAAGUUGGCUAAUACCGCAUACUAUCGGAUAACCCAUAUGGGAUUAGCUAGUAGGUGGGGUAAAGGCUCACCUAGGCGACGAUCUCUAGCUGGUCUGAGAGGAUGAUCAGCCAAACUGGGACGUAGAAACGGGCCAGACGCCUACGGAGGCAGCAGGGGGGAAUAUGGCACAAUGGGCGCAAGCCGGAGUCAGCCAUGCCGCGUGUAUGAAGAAGGCCUUAGGGUUGGAAAGGACUUUCAGCGGGGAGGCGUUACCCGAAGAAGAAGAACCGGCUAACUCCGUGCCAGCAGCCGCGGUAAUUC